AAACAAGGAAAAGUGCCUCAUC
rnacentral:siRNA from 1 species